rnacentral:ncRNA from 1 species
GUAACCUAGAAUUACUUAGUGUUCUUUUGAUACAUAAGCAAUACCUGAACACGACGUUCAGGUAAGCCGCCACUGAGCCACGGAUGGCGAAUUGGCGGCGGUUGCGUAUUAAGCAUAUAUCUUAAUUAAGAACACUUAGUAAUUCUUGGUUG